UUUAUCAAAAUUAAAUACUCAUAUUCUGAUGCCGCUGAAUCUUUUAUCCUUCCUAUUGCUACUGGAUCUGCCAAAGGAAAAAAAAAUUAAGUUUUUGUCAAGAAAACUUUCAAGUGUUUAUCCACAACCAUUAGAAAUUACAAAAAAAAAAUAUGAAGAUUUAAUGAAGUUGUGUGAAAAGCAUGUAAUACCUUCAAAGUUUGUUAAUGAAUAUAGAAAAUUUGCUCCAAAUACCAACAUACCUGAUAUCCUCGCAGAAACAGACGACGAAGAUGAAGAAAAUUGAAUAAUUUAAAUUCACAGAAUAGUUAUAUAUCAAAAUAUUAUGAAUUAUUAGAUCGAAUUCAUAGUUCACUUUCUUUGAAAACCGCAUACCCACAAAACGUCGUAAGUACAUAUAUUAAGCGACAAACUCAUGUAUAUUAAAUUUCAAAGAGUGCUCACAAAUUAUCGUAAGCGCCAUAUUUAAUAGAAAUUUCCUUUUUUCUACUUUUCUUUCUGCUUCAGAUGAAUGAGUAGAGCUGCUAGAGUUCACGUAUGAAUUUUUAGAUGAUUAUGUUUUGAAAUGGUUUACUUAUACAAAAAUAUCGUUUUGUGUAAAAUCAAGCUAUUGUCGCUUAUGAUGUUUUGUCAGAAAGCCAUCGAUAUCGUAUAUUUAAGAGUUCUUUUGACCAGAUGGAUAUACCAUUGAAAAUUAUAUUUCAACUUUGAUUUAAAAAUUAAAAUUUCCGCACUGUACCCGAGUUGAAAUAAAAAAUCGUUAUUUGAAAUUUUUUGCUAAUUUGAAAAAAAUGCUUGCUAAUGACAUUUUUUAUUAUUUUGAUACUUGUUCACAAAUUCUUAAUAUUAUGAUUAUUAUUUCUGUAUAAAUGCUUACACAUACUUGUAUGAGAAAAUAACUGUGCACUUUUAGAUCUUUGCUAAUAAUUCAAUGAAAUUCUCAAUCUCUGAUAUAUAUCUUAUAAUUUCAAAUUAAUACUAAGUAUAAUAAUUCGUGAAUUUUAUUUUAAUUACAUAUAAAUACAAAUUUGAAUAUUUUUAUAACAGAUUUGAUGUGUGUAUGAGGUAUUCAACGAGUCAGGUAGGACAUGUAUUUCAAUCUAGGAAAUUUCUGUUCAAUAUUAAUUAUUUACAUACCACUAGUCUUGCCAAAUUUAAUUUGAAAAAGUAUUUCGUGCUAAAAGUUGAACAAUAACAAACUAAUCAAAAUCUUGAUGAAGCCUUCAACAAAGUUGCGAUAGUGGAUUAAAUCCAUGAAAUCAAGUCCAUACACAAAGUACAUAUAAUAGGAAUUGUUAUUAAUUGUAUUCACCAUAUAACGAAUUUUUCAUGAUUAAUUUCGAUAAUUACUUCAACAUUGCCUGGACUUUUGAAAGAAUUACACAGGUAACUAUACAAGCUCACUGAAUUGUAUUAUUAAAAAAAUAAAGAUUGUGCAGGUAAAAGUUACAUCUCCUUAAGUAUUUCAUACUUUUCGAAAGUAAAUAUUAAGUAUAAAAAUUAUUGAAUUUCAUACAAAAUAAAUUUCGAUAAUUAUU